rnacentral:lncRNA from 1 species
AUGGUGGCAGCAUUCAAACAUAGUGCUCCAGAAGAUGAAGAUUCCAGCUCCGAUGGUCCAGAUGCAUCCAUCCUAAGUGAAAGUGAUUCCAAGGAGACAGUAAACCUGCAGUGUCAGGACAUGGGCAUGGACAGGAUGCCAUGUGUCGUCCAUACGCUGCAGCUUGUUGUCCACAUGAUAAACAAGGAGGAAAGCAUCAACAGAGUCUUGAACAAAGUCCGAUCAAUCGUGAAACUUUUUCGCCAGUCAUCAGUCGCAACACAGAAGAUUUUGGAUGAGUGCGGCCUAACUGUUGUGAAUGACUGCCCCACACGCUGGUCAAGUACUUAUGAAAUGGCUGCACGUCUCCUCCAAGUUAAAGAAUCUGUUUGUGAAGUAGCAAACGAGAUGGGAUGGGACUGCUUGCUCUCAUGUGAGUGGCAGAAGCUGAAGUCAAUGCAAGAACUUUUGCAGCCUUUUGCUGAGCACACACAAACUCUUCAGAGUGAGACAAUGUCUAUGUCAUUAAUACUCCCUGCUCUCUUUGAUUUACUCAGCCAUCUGGCAGAUGUGGAACAAAACACAAGUCGAGAUGUUGCUGCUCUAGCACGUAAAAUGGAAGGGAAUGUGAACCAGCGUUUUGCCUGGGUACUUGAUCCCUCAGAUGACAAGUUUUCCCCACUUGUAGCAGCUGCUUGCUUUCUCAAUCCUACUGUGUGUCAGACCCUCCUCAAUGUGGCUGAUGAUAACAUUCAGGAGCUGCUCAAGCAGGCAGAAGGGUAUGUUGUUCGGUGCUCUCAGACACAGGAGAACCACUCUGAUCUGGAGGAACUGAAUGGACCUGAACCGGCACCACCCGCCGCCGCCGCCUCCUCUUCAUCAUCUGCCUCCUCCUCCUCCAGACAACCAGUCUUUAGGUUUCUCUCCAAAUUCGGAACAAAGCCUAAACCAAAAUCUUCCAAGUGUAGUGUUAGACAGCAGAUAAGCCAGUAUAAGGAAGAGCUCUCACAGUCCAUCCCUUGGGAAAUGGGAAUGGAGUUUUGGCUUGGAAAAUGUGACACGUUUUAUCACAGCCUGAAACCAUUAGCAUCAGAUAUAUCGGCAAUGCCAGCUUCUCAGUCUUUUGCAGAAAGAGUGUUCAGUAUCACAGGUGACCUCACUAGAGGGAAACGCAACCGAGCAAAGGUCACACUAGCACGAAGUGCUUUUCUCAAAAUGAAUCGCAGCAAAUAA